CGAACGUGGGUAACCUGCCCAUCAGAGGGGGAUAACAUUCGGAAACGGAUGCUAAAACCGCAUAGGUUCUUUAGUCGCAUGACUGGAGAAGGAAAAGAGGCUUCGGCUUCUGCUGAUGGAUGGACCCGCGGUGCAUUAGCUAGUUGGUGAGGUAACGGCUCACCAAGGCCGUGAUGCAUAGCCGACCUGAGAGGGUGAUCGGCCACAUUGGGACUGAGACACGGCCCAA
rnacentral:rRNA from 1 species